GGCUGAAAUUCGCCUUCAUGAAGCCGGAAUUGCUAGUAAUGGCAGGUCAGCAUACUGCCGUGAAUACGUUCCCGGGCCUUGUACACACCGCCCGUCACACCAUGAGAGUUGGAGAUACCCGAAGCCUGUGAGCUAACAAACGAGGCAGCAGUCGAAGGUAGGAUCAAUGAUUGGGGUGAAGUCGUAACAAGGUAAC
rnacentral:rRNA from 1 species